GAUCUCAUUCCACAAACAUUAGCGUUUCUCUCUCGAGGUGUCUUUUGUGGCUUUAUUUAUGGAUUAUUGUGUUUCUCUUUAUCCUUUUCUGUCUUUUGCGUAAUUAUUAUUUUUUUUUCUGUCUAGCACACAAACACUUGGAUCAUGUCCUGUAAUACAGUGAUGCCGUUAUAAAUGGAAACAGACAGCUGAAGAAACUGCUCUUGUCUGUAUCGUCUUGUACCGAUGACCUUGUCCUGCUCAUCCUUGACUCUGCCCACUCGUCUUGCCAGCCGCUUUUGUUGGAUUUUGAUAGCAGAGAUCGGGAUGGAUGAAUGACGGCCUCCCUAACUCGCCUGUGACUCUUUUGUUUCUGUUCAGAUGAGUUUGAAAAACACACACAGUCCAUUCAGAUACAGGUGUGUGUGUGUGUGUCCUGUGGUGUCAGUCUCUCAGCUGUGAUUACAAUGAGGACUGACCCUGGUGUCGUGGUGAUAGUAGUGCUCUAAUGAACACUAAUGAAUCAGAUGGCUGACAAUGUGAGCACCAGGAAUCUUUUGUGUUCAUGUCACUUCAGUCAUGAUGAAGAGGUGUGUGUGUAUGUGUUGUGUGUGUUGUGCCUGAAGCUAUACAACCAAAUCAAUCUAUCAGCAGAUAAAAGAAUCAUGCAUCACACAGGAGUCCAGGAAUAGAUGCAGAUUUAGAAGAUCAUUUGCUGGGCUAUGCAAAACCUAUGCUAAUUCUCAGUGAUUGCUCUGAUGAGUCAUUUGGGUUUUGUCUUUCUUCUCUUUGUAUGUGGCUCUGCUCUACAUGGGUUUUCUUUGAGUAUUUUGGUAUUCCUUUGUUCAUCCUCAUUGUUGGAUAUAUGUUUCCAUUAGUAAUAACACAGAUUUUUACCUUAGCAAAAGCAGCUUCUCAAAUUAGCUUCAGAAACAAUGCAUUUGUUCGCAAUUACUUAUAUACAGUAUGCAUACACUGGCCUGUUGUGGCUGAUAGACAGAUAUUCAAAUUCUAUUGUAUUUUGUCAAAAUAAAUAAAUAAUAAAAGCACAGAAAACUAAAAUCAGUAAUUUAAAUAAAAGAGCUAAAAAUAAAUCAUAGCAUGCAAUAUUCAUUUGAGAUCUGUUAAAGAUUACAUCUAACAGUGUUAUAAAAUUAUUUAUAUUUUUAAUGUUUAAGAUUAAGGCAUUAGAUGAUGGCAAAGGCAAUCUAAAUGUUAAAACUGGGAAAAUGAGCAUACAAUUAAAUAUCCAAUAACAACUGAUAAAUAUUCAAUGUUGACUGAUACGAUGAAUAAAAAAACACCCUCUAAUAUCAACCGAUAAUAGAUAUGGUACCAAUAAAGUAAAACUAAAAAACUAAAAACUGAAAUCAGUUAUUUUAAAUUCUAUAGUGAAUUUAGGCAAAACAACAUUAUAAUGUGCAUUAUGAAAAAAGGACUGAUUAUUUUAAGAUAUGAAAAUUUGGGAAAUGCACAUUUAAAUGCCGAAUAUCAUCCAAAAGCCCUAAAUAAAAAUAAAUCUGUAAUAUCGCCCAAUAACCAGUCUAUGCUGCACUCAAAGCUGCUGUUGGUUAGGUGGAGAUUUAAUGGAUAAACUUAUUUAAUAAAUAAAAUCGUACAAAUUGUGAAAAUACUUUUUUUGUUGUGAAAGUUAUAAAAGUUGUCAUCUGUGAUAUUUACUUUAAUCACUCUAGUUGUUAUGUGUCAUUAAUGGCUAUUAAUAGGGCUAGAAAAAUAGCUUGACUUGAAUCAUUUACUAAUACAGAUAAUAAUCGAGCUGCUUCUGUUGCAUGAACAGAACAAUUUUGGAGUGAUUAUAUUGUUGUGAAACACUGGCUGAGCAGAUGUACUUAGUAAUGCUCUCAACAGUUUUUUUUUCAGAGGGAAAUAGAGAAGUGAGUGCUUAAAUAAAACCUUCAUCUGAGUUGUGUAGAGGCCUGGAGGUUGACUUUUCGGUGAAUGCAUUCAUCGUUUAUAAUGACACGAUUGGCCUCAUUUGCAUAUUUGAACUGUUUGGUUAGACUGUUGGUUGGCUGGUUAGACAGCACGCAGUUCCUCUGGGUUCUUAUGGA
ensembl:lncRNA